AAUGAACGCUGGCGGCAGGCCUAACACAUGCAAGUCGAACGCACCUUUCGGGUGAGUGGCGGACGGGUGAGUAACGCGUGGGAAUAUGCCCUUUGGUACGGAAUAGUCCUGGGAAACUGGGGGUAAUACCGUAUGUGCCCUUCGGGGGAAAGAUUUAUCGCCAAAGGAUUAGCCCGCGUUGGAUUAGGUAGUUGGUGGGGUAAUGGCCUACCAAGCCGACGAUCCAUAGCUGGUUUGAGAGGAUGAUCAGCCACACUGGGACUGAGACACGGCCCAGACUCCUACGGGAGGCAGCAGUGGGGAAUCUUAGACAAUGGGGGAAACCCUGAUCUAGCCAUGCCGCGUGAUCGAUGAAGGCCUUAGGGUUGUAAAGAUCUUUCAGAUGGGAAGAUAAUGACGGUACCAUCAGAAGAAGCCCCGGNUAACUCCGUGCCAGCAGCCGUCGGUAAUGUCGUACGAU
rnacentral:rRNA from 1 species